rnacentral:rRNA from 1 species
UUAAAGUCUAACCUGCCCACUGAAAAUUUUAAAUGGCCGCAGUAUUCUAACUGUGCAAAGGUAGCAUAAUCAUUAGUCUUUUAAUUGAAGGCUGGAAUGAAUGGUUGGACGAGAUAUUAACUGUUUCAUUUUAAUUUUUUAUAGAAUUUUAUUUUUUAGUCAAAAAGCUAAAAUUUAAUUAAAAGACGAGAAGACCCUAUAAAUCUUUAUAUUUUAUUUAUUUAAAUUUUAAAGAUUAAUUUAAUUUUAAUAAAUUAAAAUAUUUUAUUGGGGUGAUAUUAAAAUUUAAAAAACUUUUAAUUUUUAAAACCAUUAAUUUAUGAAUUAUUGAUCCAUUAAUAAUGAUUAAAAAUUUAAGUUACUUUAGGGAUAACAGCGUAAUUUUUUUGGAGAGUUCAUAUCGAUAAAAAAGAUUGCGACCUCGAUGUUGGAUUAAGAUAUAAUUUUGGGUGUAGCCGUUCAAAUUUUAAGUCUGUUCGACUUUUAAAUUCUUACAUGAUCUGAGUUCAGACCGGCGUAAGCCAGGUUGGUUUCUAUCUUUAGUAAAUUAUAAUAUUUUAGUACGAAAGGACCAAAUAUUAGAAUAAUUAUAUUUUAAAAAAGAAUAUCAUUAAUAAAU